rnacentral:rRNA from 1 species
UGGGGAAUAUUGGACAAUGGGCGAAAGCCUGAUCCAGCCAUGCCGCGUGUGUGAAGAAGGUCUUCGGAUUGUAACGCACUUUAAGUUGGGAGGAAGGGCAGUAAGCGAAUACCUUGCUGUUUUGACGUUACCGACAGAAUAAGCACCGGCUAACUCUGUGCCAGCAGCCGCGGUAAUACAGAGGGUGCAAGCGUUAAUCGGAAUUACUGGGCGUAAAGCGCGCGUAGGUGGUUCGUUAAGUUGAAUGUGAAAGCCCCGGGCUCAACCUGGGAACUGCAUCCACAAGUGGCGAGCUAGAGUAGGGCAGAGGGUGGUGGAAUUUCCUGUGUAGCGGUGAAAUGCGUAGAUAUAGGAAGGAACACCAGUGGCGAAGGCGACCACCUGGGCUCAUACUGACACUGAGGUGCGAAAGCGUGGGGAGCAAACAGG